CUUACCGCCGCCUCCAUUUCUUUAUAGCCGCCGGGCCGAGCACAGCUCCCCCGGUGACACCGCCCAGCAGCCCGCCUUCGCCCCGCUCCCCCCGCCAUUCCCUGGCCGCUUUCCCCGCCCCGCCGGCGAGGCCGAUUCUUUGUAUGCCCACAGCUGUUGACUGCUGCUGAAAGAAGCAGGAGGGAAAAGAAGACUACAAACACAUUCAUCAGUAGCCACAGCCUGAGGAAGCAAGUCUAAUUGAACUUCUUAAUGCUGUUCAAGCAGAGACUGCCAAUCCCAACAUGCCAUACGCAGCUCUGUAGUGAAGACUGAGAUGAAGUGGGGCUGGUGGCUUUUAUUUCUUGCCCUGCUCAUACAGAAUUCUGUCUUUCUAAUUUUCAUGAAAUUGAAAUAAGAUUCUUCUGCUCUAAUCAAAAGAAGAUGCCUGACAGUUCCCUGUGUAAUCAUACUGUAAACAACUGUGGCUUACUACAGGAAAGGAAUUUGGAUCCUCCUCGUGGUGCUGCAGUGAAUGAAAAUAUAAUCUGUCCUUAAUGCCAGGAAAAAAACCCAAACAUUGGGUGUGGGUUGGGGGUUGUGAGUGUGCGGUGUGGUUUUAUGGGGGUCAUUUGUUGUUUGUUUGGUGUGUAGGGUUUUUUGUUUGGUUGGUUGGUUUGCUUGUUUAAGUUCCAUCCUUCUUGAUGAACUGCCUAGAUUCCUAAUUUGGGAGUGGAUGGGGAGAAGCUUGCAGUACCUGGUAGUAUUGAAGUAUAAAUAUAAUUAUGAAAUUCUAUGUAAUAUAGAUAAUGCUCAGAUUAUCUUUAUUGGUUCUCGGUCCAAACAUACAUUAAUGGAUUUUCGUGAAGCACUGUCAAUUUGUAGGUUGUCUGUGGAUUUGAGGUUUUCCCUAAUACAUGUAUACACUAUCUAAAAUUAAUUUUGGAUUGUCCCUAAAGUAAAUUGUUCAAGACUGUUUUGUCUGCACAAUUCAAAGCAGGUUAAUGAACUACUACUCUGGUUUUGGUCCUAGGCAAAUUGAGAAACUGUUUCCCCAUUUGUGUUUUCA